GCUGGUGUAGCUCAAUCGGUAGAGCAACUGACUUGUAAUCAGUAGGUUGAGGGUUCAAUUCCUUUCACCAGCUCCA
rnacentral:tRNA from 1 species